GCGAAUCAACUAGCCAACUCCCAAAUGCAACAUAAAUUCGGAUGGAAAUUCACAGCUCCAAAGCUCCGAACCCCAGCGACAAAACCCGACUUAUACUUCAAAUCAAAAACAUUAUUGAAAACCAGAGAUCAAAGAGAAAUGCUGAGAUUUGUAAUUUUUGAUUCCUUUCGAAAUAAAAUAAUACUUGAAUCGAAAAUUAAAACUCAGACUAUAACUUUUAUAUUUUUUUUUUGAAAAGAUGCAGACUGAAAUUUAAAAGAAAAGGCUUGAAGAAAUGGAAAACUCCAAGAACCCUAGAAUUUUACUCCCUAAUUUUCUGAAAAUUUCUUUUUUCCUCUAACAAGAAAAGAACUCACCUUAUAUAUAAACCUCAAAAUAUCUCGAAGCUUCUGCCUAGAAUCCGAAAAUCUUCAGAUUUUUGAACAAUUUCGGGACAAAUGGAGGGCGUGGAUUGAUUCAUAUCUAUCCAUGACUCCCAUUCGUCCAACAAUUAUCCUUUUGAAUUUGAAAUCGUGCAAUUUUGAGAGAAUAUCGUACUCCUCGGACAAAUCUAUUGAGUAUAAGGUGACGUGGAGGGAGGGGACCAAUGAAUGAACUCACUCAAAACUCAAACGAGUUGAGGCGAAGAAGAAGAACAGUAGAGGGAGGGGGGGCACC
rnacentral:lncRNA from 1 species